rnacentral:rRNA from 1 species
UACGGAGGAUCCGAGCGUUAUCCGGAUUUAUUGGGCUUAAAGGGUGCGUAGGCGGCCUUGUAAGUCAGGGGUGAAAGACGGUAGCUCAACUAUCGCAGUGCCUUUGAUACUGCAGGGCUUGAAUGUACUUGAGGUAGGCGGAAUGUGACAAGUAGCGGUGAAAUGCAUAGAUAUGUCACAGAACACCAAUUGCGAAGGCAGCUUGCUAAAGUAUGAUUGACGCUGAGGCACGAAAGCGUGGGGAGCAAACAGG